CUAGAUUAAAUUGUGAUACUCCAGUAUUCUGCAAUAUUAUUAUCUGGAGUCUGGUCUUAUUUUUCCUAGGUCAGUUAUGAUCGACAGAGACUUGAAAGAGCUCAACGCCAUAAGAGAAGUUUUCCCCAAAACCAAAGUUCUCCUCUGUUGGUUUCAUGUUCUCCAGGUACUGAUUGCAUUUAAGAAAUGCACGAGAAGGCUGUACAUCGCGUUGGGUUACAUCAAGAGAUGGUGGGAACCUGUCACCUGACAAAAGACACGUCGUCAUUCAUGCCAUGACCUCAAUGAAAGCUUGCAUAACGGAGGAAGAUUUUGUGACCGUGUCCACUAGCGUGUGCAAUGACCUUGAUGCCCAGCUUGGCAGCAAUCGAGUGACAACAUACCUGAAGGUGCACUGAACUUCCACAUGCAGCACUAUGGGCCAAUUUUGGACGACUGUUUGAGCACAACAGCAGUGACACCAACAAGGCAGAGAGGUAGUCAAAGAUUAAUAAUCAUGUUUUUUCAAACAUUACAAUGCAUGAUAUAAAACAAAAAGUAACUCAUGAUCGGGAACAUUUGGUCCCCUAGACGGCACAUUUUAUCUUCUAAUCUGCCACUGAACACAAGUUUUCUGGUCACAUUUGGAACUGUUUUUUUUGUAUUUACAAAUUAAGUUAUCAUUUCCAAAGUUUCCAAUAUCACAAUCCUAGCUCCCCAACACUGA
ensembl:lncRNA